AAAAUAUCGUAUAGUGAUUUAUUUUCAAUGUUUAUUCAAUUUAAUACCUCUUCGAGAAAGCUUUUAUUUAUUUAAUGUGUCAUACAAUUUCAUUUUAUAACUCAAUGGAUCAAAAAGCUUUUCAACUUUCAUAACUCUCAACUUCUUACUAAUAUAUUACUGAUAACGCGUUGAGUGUAUUUUCUUUUGAUUAUACUUUGUACGACAGAAUGUCUCGUAAAGCUUGCAUAUCAAGCAUCUAUUGAGAGUUCGUGAACGUAUUAGUAAAUUGCCCUCGUGCCUAACAAAUGAAGUAAUGAUAUUUGAAUAGUCUCAACUAUGUAUUUGAGACGUAGCGUUGGGGUUCCUCAAAGGGUGUGGUCAUACCUGUUUCUGCGCCUCGAACACCGAUGGCACCAAAUGCUUCGAGCACGGCGGCGUUAACGUAGCAUCGACGGAAGGCAUCGCGUUCACUCGAUUUUCGAAGAACUGUUACAAGUUUCGAGUGCAUCGACAGCAGACGGCGCAAGCCGCAGUAAAAUAUCGUCGCGUGCGACUGUGCGCUGUUGUGAACGCGAAAGAACCGAAACGAUGAGAACGCUAAUUCGCGACGAAAAAAGAGUGACUGCCGUACUCGUUUAGUUUCAUUUUGUUGCGGUAUACCACGCUGGAUGUGACGAUGUGACCUAACGAAAAUAUUUUUUUAGUGGCAAUUAUGGCUCAGCCUACACAGGACAUGGAUAUAAGUAGUUCCUUUACCUUGAAUGACAACUCAUCGAAUAAUGAUUCUUCGAAAAAUUUGUACAAUAAAGAAAUAACAAUGGUUGAAAGAAAUCAAAUAAAAGUGAAACGGAUACAUAAUGAUUCCAUUAAUAUAUCAGAGAAUUAUGAACAUCAAGAAUGUUUUGAUAGUCAUUCUAACGAUGUCAAGACAUCUCAAAUUACAUUUCCGUGGCUUAUUAAAUUUAAUAAAGCAAUGUGUUCAUCUGUGGGGAGUAAAAAUGCUCAGUUACUACAGCGUUUAAUUUCUCUUUAUACACAGAAUAUUUUAACUAGCAUAAAUACAUAUUGUGACAAAGCACUGCAUAUGAAACAGUUAAAAAAUCACAUAAAUAGUACCUUAACAUUUUUUCACUUUUACUGGCAUGAUAUUAAAGAGUAUGUCAGCGACUACGAUACAUACUUGAAUGCAAUGUCAGUGCUGUUAGGAAUAUACAUAGAUAUGGAGCUUAAAACUUUUAGGCAUGCUAAGGAUUCUUCCUCGAUAAUUACGAAACUUAUUUCAGUAUUAUGGAUAUAUUUGAAUAAUUCAGAGAAGCAUAUCUUUAGAGUGUUACUUAAACUUAAACAUAUUUCUAAAAAAUAUACUAAAAUAUAUGAUCCUAUAUUCAUGAAAAGUUUCACCUGCUUAAGAAGAAGCAUAGAAUCUUUAACAGAUAUAGACUACAUCAGAUAUUUACUUAUUUUAAAGAUGUGGAAAAGAAUGAAGGAAAAUUUUAAAGAGAAAAAAGAAGUAAAUAAGAUAGCUUUAACGAUCUUGGGUCCAUGUCCACCAAAAAUACGUGAUGAGUUAUCGAACAUCAUACCAAAACCACCUACAGGCCAUAAAAAUGAAACGCUUUGGCUGUUACAACCAAAUGUGUUUGAUUUAAAAACAGCAUGCAAUAAUUUUUUAGCAUUUGAAGAUGCAAUGUCCGUUCAAUCUAAGGAUUCUCAUUUAGCAAAAAAUCUAGAUUUGAAUAAUUUCGAAAAAUCGCAGAUUACUUCAUCGUAUGAUAUAAAUUAUAUCGACGACUGUACUAUAAAUUGUGAAUUAAACAGAAGCAAAAUGAACAACUCGCGAAGUAGUCAUUCUUUCCAAAAUAUAGUAAAUUGCAGUAAACCUGCAAAUCAAAUAUAUUCUGUGAAAAAGAGGAAUAAGAUUAAAAAAUAUAAAAAAGCAUCAAAACUGAAACCUGGAGAAAUAAUAUUAAUUGAUUUAACCGAAGAAAAAGAAUCAUUACAAGUAAAUAAAAGUAAGAAAAAAAAGUCCAAAAGAAAAUUAGAAUGGUUAAAAAUGACGAAGAAAAAAUAUAAAGUACAGAAGCAAAUAGAUGAAGUAAAAUGCAGAAAUCAAGUGGAAAUUGCAGAUGCCCAUAGUACAGAGAAUUUCGAAUGUUUUACGGAUGAAACCUGUUUAAAGUAUUUACCAAUUUCGGACAAUAAAGUUAGUGAAAGUAUAGAAAGUUGCAGUAGCUUGGUGGAACAUGAACCAUUGCAAGAUAAUACUCAUUAUAUUAAUUCUCAGAAUAUACAUGAUUACAUUUCCAGCAAAAGAAACAAAGAAUUAAAAUGCAUGUUGCAGCAUAAACAAUGUGAUAUCUGUACUUUAUCGUUGAAGCAAAGUGAUAUACAACACAACAGAGUUUUAUCUUUAUUGAAAUUUUUAAACGCUGUUGGACAAAAUAUUAAAGAACCGAAAACCAUAUUAAAUCUAUUUAAAGAAAAUAGAGAACAAAAUGUAAUGUCGUCGCAACAUACAUUUCUUUCUAGAAGUACAACCAAUGAAUCUAAUGAAACACAUACUCAGGGUAAGGAAGAAACAUUUUCUCAGCCAAAAAGUUCCAUAGAGACAAUAUUCUUGUCAAAAGAGUGCCAAAACAGUAUUAUAAACACCCAGUCUAUAAAACAAGAGUUACCAACAAGUACAGAUUGCAGUGCAACAGAAACUGAUGCUUGCUGUCAAAAUGAUUGUCAUUCACAUGACUGUAGAUCUAUGAAUACAUAUUCGCAAGUAACCGAAUCUGCAAAACAAAAAGUCUCGUGUGAUACUCACGAAUGGACGUGUUGCAGUAAGAAAAUCGAAGUAAAACCUUUUUCUUGUCAUAAUUAUAGUACGUAUAAUACAACAAAGAGUGAAGAUACGACGCAAACUACAAUAGGCGAUAACACUACGGAUAAAAAAUCAAUUUCUGACAAAAAUAUAAUGUGUAUGCUGAGCGAUCUGGACAAAUGUAUGGACGUUUUAAAUCGCAUCGGUGAACACAUUAUGACUGUGCACGCAGAAAAACAACGAUCAGAGUGUUUAGACAAGACUGACGCGUGUUCUGUUUCUACUACAGUUUCUGGAAAUCAGAUUGCAAAGUCAUCUUUGGGCUGGACACAAAAUACCAAUUUAUUAACGAAUUCGGAAAAACUUGGUAGAAUUUUAGAAUUAUAUGGAAAGAAAGAAUUUCUGAAUUCGUGCAAUUGUAAAGAUUUUCACAGAGGAUCUAACCAGGAAAGUAAUGUAGUGUCAAAUGACAAUUGCAGAAAAUUAAUGACUUCAACAUCGCAACCAAUGGAAUUACAUUCCUAUGAAAAAGAUCAUGUCACCUUUUCUGAAAAUAAGUUAUCCGAAAGUUUUUUUUCAAGUCAUAUAAAAUCUGAAUUUGACCAGUCUAUUAAAGAGGAAGACAGUGAAAAUCUUGAAGUUAUGACAGAUCAUCCACGGAAAAUAAGUGGACAUAAAAUUGCCAUGAUAACAAAUAAUCAAGCAUACACAAGUGAAUCUUCAGCCUACGAUUUGAAAAAUACCGAAGACUUGAAUGAGGAUAUACGUUGCGAAUCUAGAUUACAAAGUUUUUCGUUGAAAAAUGAUGGAAUAGAAACACAUUUUACAGACGAGUAUGAAAAUAUUGAUAUUUUAGACAGCAUUCUGAAUGGGGAUAUGACUAUGGAAGAUGAACAAGAAAUUUUAGAGGACUCGCAAUCCUCGUUGAUUUCGCCGAUCAAUUAUGAUAAUUCAAAUAAUGUGUUAAAUUGUAUUUCAGAAUUUUUCUUACAAGCUGAACAUACAUAUAGAAAUGAACAGAAAGAAAAACAUAUUACUUCAGACACAGAAAAUUCUAUAACACCAUUACCUGAAGGUAGCCUGGGAACAACAGGAAUAUUAAACUCUUUAUUGGAUUUUGAGUUAACAAAUAUGGAUUCUCCUCCAAAUGAUUUUAUGUACUCCAAUGUACAAACAGUUAAUCCGCGGUUAAUUAAAAAAAGCUUUGAAGGGGACAUUUUUUCAAUUAAUGAUAAUAUUUCGGAGUUGAAUUCUCAUGUCGAAGAAAUGAUUACAAUUGAAGAAAACGAUAAAAACGAUUCGCAUCCACAGGAGAAGAAGAAAUCGUGUAAUAAUCAAAACGAUUCAAUCGAUAGUAGGGUGAAUACAGUUGAGUUUGGAUUAAACUCUAAUAAAGAAGACAUACUCGAAUUUCCUUCAUUAAUUAAAAAUAUAUCUUCUUUCUCUAGUCAGUCGACUAUUUUAGUCAAUUCAGGUAACGCAUCUUCUGAAUUAAAAGAAUCUCUUCCUAAAUACAGUCUUUCUGAUCCCGCCGAUAAGCUUAAUAACGAGACUGUAAUAGAAAAAUCUUAUAUUUUUCAAAAAGAAGAUACAGUUCAAUCUUUCGGUGAUACAAUAAAUCGUGUGUCGCCUGAAACAUACACUUCCAAUGAAAUUCCAUUCAAUGCCUUAAUGAACUGUACAAGUCAACGGGAUAAUUUUUCAUCAUCACAUAAACAUACUUAUGUGGAACUCAGAACAAGUCCUUUUGUGAUGAAGCAAUCUUCAGAUUCUGACUUAUUGUCUUCCACAGAUUUAAUACCAUGUAAUACUGUCACACAGUGCGAACUUGUAAAAUGUGAAAAUUCUUUAAAACCAAGAAAUAUUCAGAAGAACAUACAACAUAACUGCAAAGAAAGGCAAAAUCAUAUUAUGAAUCAUAGAAUAGAAAUUACUUCACAAUCUAGAUCAUCCAAGCGGAAGGUAAGAUAUAAGAAGAAGAUUAAAAAGGUGGAGAGAGAAGAAGCACCUUCAUCUAUUGUUGAACAUAGCCAAGAUGAAUUGAGCUUAAGGUGUCCACAACUUACUGUAAUCAAUCCCUUGAAUCGCAAGGAUGUUCAAAGCACAUGCGAAUUGCCAUUAUCAUCAUUUCACACGUCAUGUCGCCAAAAAUCCCCUCAUACUGUAUGUACAUCUAGAAAUGUGUACAAGCAAUUAAAGUGUGUAGGCAUUCAACAACUAAGAAAUAUGUCUCCACGUAAACAACAAAUUUUACUAAACUUUCACGGGGAUUCUACAACAAAUACAAUCUUCACGGAAGAUUCCAAAUUGGAAAAACCUCAACACAACAUGGAAGAUAACAUCUGGGAAGAUUCAAGCGUGUUGUAUAAAUCUGUGGAAAAACCACGUACACUAGGAAACAAGACGUGCUUUAAGUUUCCUAAAAGAAAGAUAAAGAUCGACGCAGACAUUACUAAAGUGAAUCUUACGACAGAUAAACAUGUAACCGAAGUUUCAAAUAAUAUUCUUAUUAAGUCUGAUAUUAAGUGCACAUUACAAAACAUAGAUGCACAGUCAUCAAAGUUUAUCAAAAAACAAAUCGUUGCAACUCUAGAUGAAGAAACGCCUCUGAAGAAAAGGAAAGUAGCGCCUAAAUUUUCAAGCUUAGAAGCAAAUGCUGUCAUUUGUUCUGUAAAUCAACAGGAAGCGCAACAGAAACAAUUCACUUCUGCAAAGAAAGGUAAAUUUAUUCCGAUGCUUUCCUUAUCUCAUUCCGCUUUAAAUAUAAAUUGGCGCUUAUUUCAAAUAUUGAUUUCGUUUUCGAUAUAGUUUUAACUAUAAACAAUAGCAUCGGUAAGUUUUGUACUCUCAUGAAUUAGAGUCUUUCAUAAUGUACUUAUACUCUAAAGCACAAAGUGGUAAAUAGUUCCUAAUAUCUACACGGAAGAUCAACACUGGAAGAUUUUAUUUUACAAAUUUCAUGACUUAUAAUCACUUAGUAAUCUAAAUUUUGUAUACAAGCAAAAAUAUAGUUAUAUAUACGUUAAUUAGUUUAAUAUGAAUUUAUAGUUUGAGACUGAAUAGUUGCAUUUAAGAUGGUAGUAUCGUUAAUAUCUGAGUAAGUCAAAAAGUGACAAUGUAUUAUGUAUUUAUAUUUGUCAAUAAUGUUUCAACAUACGAAAAUCCUGUUAUCUAUAAAACAGUAAUAUUAAUCAGGUUUCAUAUGUACAAAUAGGAGGAAAAACAUGGUAGGUGAGUACACGUAAAGUGUGUACAAUGUUUUUACGAUAAGCCUUACCCACCCAUUAAUAUAAAGGAGUGUUUUAAAUAUAUUUAUAAAUAAAUUUCUAUAAAGUUUAUGAACUUCAUAGAAUGGGAAAAUAUUGCUAAAGAAACAUUAUCAAAAUGUAUGUGCAGUUUCUUCAUAGUAACAUGAAUUUAUGAUUUCUAAAUAAUCGUAUACCUAAUUGACUUUUUAAAUCAGUGCAGUCCACGGGUGCAGCCUCUUACACUAAAAGCUCCGUAAGCACCAAAUUUACACGAUAAUGGCUAAUUAUAAUACAUGUAAACUUUGAUUAUUAUUCAUGAGAAUUAUAUUAUCCAAAUUUUAAAAUCAUAAGGAUUAAUUUAUGAUAAUUGUUAUGAAACAGUACAGUUUUACAUAUUUUUACUAAUCCAACAAAGUAGAAUUUGCACAAUUGCAAUAUGUUUGUUCUAUCUUAUAAAAAUUACAUUAUUUUAUUUGUAAUGUCGGUUAGGAAGAAGUUCUAUAUUUAUAAUCAUACUCUUAAUAGUGAUUGUGAUUACGAGACUUUAUUUUCAAUUUCAAUGAACCUUUACUGUAUUUUAUUAAUUUUUAUAAAUCCGUGAUUUUAUUCACGAAACAUUACAAAUUUUAUUUGUUCGAUUUAAUGUUAGAUACUGUAGUUAUAAUUUUCAUAAAUUCCUUUCACUGUAAAUUAAAACCCAGGUAAUAUUUUCUUUAUCACAAGUAGUAAAUACAAAAAUAUAAUUUCACCUCUUAAAAUUGUCAUAUAUUUAUCUCUAAUAAAGAAAUACAUGUAUCCUUUAUUGAACUUGAAAAUAAAAGUGUCGUUGAUUAUAGUAUUGCAGAUUGUAUGUAAAAGUAUUACUGUAUCCUCUAGGAAUACAUUAGUUUCAAAGGUUUUUAAAUGACAGGUUUUAUAUUGCAAGAAUAUUCUAUUUUCAGUGCAAAGAUACAUAUUGUGAUUAUGUCUGCUCACUUAAGAAUUUUACUUUACAGAGUGAAAUUCCUCAACAAGCAUGUAGAAUAUUUUCAAUGAUUACCUAUAUAUUACAUAUUGAUUGUUUGAAACCAUUCAAUUUUUCUAAAGUAUUUGACUAAACAUGUACAUAGCUGUAAAUAGUCAUAACAAAAUAUGCUUUUAAACAUAAAGUUUAUAUACGAAAGCAUUUCAUCGAUCUCUUCAACAAUUUUUAGAAUAAAUUCUUUAUACAAUUUUGGUUUUUGUACUUAUAUUUUGAAUGGUUAUUGUUAGGAUUUUAAUGGUACAAAUUACUAAGCUAUAAGCAAACAUUUUUAAGCACCUUAUUUACGAAUUCUUUGUAGAUUUAUGCUCAGGUUAUCAUUCAUUGUUUACAUUUAUUUUAGACUGAACACGAUAUAGUAUUUUUUUAAAGUAACAAUAUUAAAGGACAUAUACAUUGCCAAAUAUUUUUUUUAAUUAAUCUAAAUUGCGUGACAAAGAGGGGAAGUGCAUUAGACUGCAGUGUAUUAAUAGAAUAUUUUAUGGUUCUAGAUUUUUAAUUUUUUCUUAAAACAAAUAACAUUAAAUAACGUUAAAUCGAUUAAUACAUCACAUACGGUUUGCUCAAAAAGUACUACCUACUAAUAUUUUACAAAAAUGAAUAAUGCAAAGAAAUAAAUAAUCCAAACAAACUAUUUUUGAAAUUUUAUUGUACACUUGUGAAAAACUAUUAUUUAAUCAUUCUUUUCUGUGAAACCAAAUAUUUUCAUCUACCUUUUUUCUCUUACUAUGCCAAAAUUACAAGAAUGAGUUUUAUUAAAUUUAAAAGUAGGUACUACUGUUAGAGCAACCAUCACGAAGGUUUAGCUUUAUACCAUGUAACUAAGAAUGUAGAGAUAGUGACAAGAAACAAGUAUACUACGUUCAUUAAUAAAAUCCAUUGUUAAUUUAUAAAACUAUGCACUAAUUUUUACAAGAUAUGAAAGUUAAACAAUUGAUGCAAAUAAAGGAUAAUAGUAUUAAUUUAGACUUUUUUUAAAAUAGUAUGGUUAUCAAAACUUCUUGAUUGGUCAUUUUCGGUGUAUAUAAAUUAUUGUUAGAAUAGCAAUGAUAUCUUCAACAUUGUUUGCAAUUUAAUUAUGAAAUGCGAAAUAGUGUAUAGUUUCACAUUAAUAGUGUAGCUAAUAGUACCUAAAAAUUGAGAAGUCAGACAUCUGUACCUUAUGUUUAUGAGUAUUAUUUAAAUUCCGACUAGUUCUCGUUUACUAAUUACAAAUACGUGUAAGUUACUUUAUAGUAUAAAACUUCUUGUUUACUACUGACACUCUACUAAUUUAUCGUUUACCUUGUAUAGCAUUAAAUUUUAGCCUGUAGACAUUCCAUGUGAUUAUCUUGCCACAAGUUUUCCUUUAACUAACUUCCAAGAUUACUUUUAUGUCACAUAAAUUUAAUUAUAAGUUAUCCGACGAAGUUAUUACUUUCCUAUUCUACGUUUUAAAUAAUAAAGUAACCUUGGAUAUAAACAUCCUUGGUAUUCAAUGGUGUUCUUAAAUACAGUAUUAACAUGAAAUUCAACCAUGAAAACUAUUUUGUAUUCUGGGAUUUUGUAGGUAGUAAUGUAAGUAUAGUGGUGCAAACAGCCUUGUGUAUUUUAUAGAGAGUUAUAUUCUCGUUGGAAUAUUUAAGGACUGGAUUUAAGCGGCAACUACAUCAUUAUACAAAUUUGCUUAUUACAAAGGACAGAUUAAUAAGUCAUUAGAUAUAAACGGUGCGUGAAUAAGACAAAAGUGUAUCUAUUGACAUAUUUAUGUUGCGCAAAGGAAAAUCUACUUGCAAACUGAUUUAAUUUAUGCAGAUAGAUACAGAGCUUUCACAAGAAUAUCCUCCGAAAACUUAAUUUUUUAUAUCAUCAGAAAAUUGUAAUUGUAAACAAUUUUAUGAAAAUUUAUAAACCUGCGUAUGUAAUUGAUUUUAUGAACAUGUAAUGAUACAUUUUAUGUCACAGGAUUAAUCCAUUAAUGCCUAGGCUUCUUUUCAUUUUCAAAGAUAAACUAAAUUUUAAUAUUUUGUUGUUAAACAGUAGUUUUGUUAACGGUAAUAGACAUGUAUGUAAGUUUUUUUUUUUACUAAGUUGAAACUCGGAAAAAUGUAUAAUGUUUACAUACUAAUUUAUAUUUUAUGUAUUAUCUGAUUUGUUAAUAAUACAUUAACAAAAUUCUACAAGUAGAACUGACUAAGCUAAUACAAAGAAUAAAAAGCUACGCGUUUUAUUAAUGAAUGAUUGUAUCUUCUUAUAAUACAAUACACUGAAUAUAUGAAUUGUUCAAAACGUGAUUUUGCGAUAAUAAAAACAAUACUUCCAUUAAUUGAUAACGUUCUUAUGAAACAUAGAAUAAUGGAACGAUUUUUAAUUUAGUCGAUUACUUAAUGAUAUAUACAUGAUAUAUUCGUGCCCUGUAUUUAAAUUAUUAAAAAUGUUUUGUAAUAGCAAAUGUUUAUACGAUCGUAUAAUCAAAACGCUUAACAAAAUAUACGUAAAAGAAAAUUUCAAUGUACUAAAUUCUGAAAAUAUUUCAUGUAUAUUAAGUAAUUUCGUAGCUUUCAAUUUCCAAAGCAUUUUUAUGUCUGUGAAUACAACGUUAGUAUCAUAGUAAUAUAAUUUUUAUGUAUGAAAAAUGAGAUAUGUGCCAUCAUAUUUGAUUAAACAAUCAUGCGUACAAAGAUGAACAUAGGUGUUAUCAUUAGCACUUAAAUGAGCGCAUAUUAUUUGUCCAGGAGCUUUACUCUAAUAAGAUCAAUGAUUUCCUCGAAUAUGAGAAAGAAAUGAGAUCUUUUGCGGUUUUAAAAUACGUGAAAUGUUGUGAGCGGUUUUUUAAUCGUUAACAUCAUUAUUUUGUAUACAUCAAUGCCAGUUAUAUUUUGAUAUUUUAUACGUUUUAUGUAACUUAUAUAAAUUAUGGAAUUACAUUAGAUAACCCACAAUGUACAAUGCAGAGACUGAACAAAAUAAAACUUCUUUUUUUCAAGAA